CGCGGGAUGGAGCAGUCUGGUAGCUCGUCGGGCUCAUAACAUCAUAACCCGAAGGUCGUCGGUUCAAAUCCGGCUCCCGCAACCA
rnacentral:tRNA from 1 species